UGGACAAAUGAUGGUGACUGGUGGCAUAUGAGUCGUGGGUGGUGAAUGCUGUGUCAGGAACUCUGUGGUCCAA